UUCAUAAUAACUUAACGAAUCGCAUGGCCUUGCGCCGGCGAUGGUUCAUUCAAAUUUCUGCCCUAUCAACUUUCGAUGGUAGGAUAGUGGCCUACCAUGGUCUCAACGGGUAACGGGGAAUUAGGGUUCUAUUCCGGAGAGGGAGCCUGAGAAACGGCUACCACAUCCAAGGAAGGCAGCAGGCGCGCAAAUUACCCAAUCCCAAUUCGGGGAGGUAGUGACAAUAAAUACUGAUACAGGGCUCUUUCGGGUCUUGUAAUUGGAAUGAGUACAAUCUAAAUCCCUUAACGAGGAACAAUUGGAGGGCAAGUCUGGUGCCAGCAGCCGCGGUAAUUCCAGCUCCAAUAGCGUAUAUUAAAGUUGUUGCCGUUAAAAAGCUCGUAGUUGAACCUUGGGUCUGGCUGAUCUGUCCUCCUAAUCGAGCGCACGGAUUCGGUCGGACCUUUCCUUCUGGGGAGCCGCAUGCCCUUCACUGGGCGUGUCGGGGAACCAGGACUUUUACCUUGAAAAAAUUAGAGUGUUCAAAGCAGGCCUUUGCUCGAAUACAUUAGCAUGGAAUAAUAGAAUAGGACAGAGGUUCUAUUUUGUUGGUUUCUAGGACCGCUGUAAUGAUUAAUAGGGAUAGUCGGGGGCGUCCGUAUUCAAUUGUCAGAGGUGAAAUUCUUGGAUUUAUUGAAGACGAACUACUGCGAAAGCAUUCGCCAAGGAUGUUUUCAUUAAU
rnacentral:rRNA from 1 species